rnacentral:rRNA from 1 species
AGUAGGGAAUUUUCCACAAUGGACGAAAGUCUGAUGGAGCAACGCCGCGUGAACGAUGAAGGUCUUCGGAUUGUAAAGUUCUGUUGUCAGGGACGAACAAGUACCGUUCGAAUAGGGCGGUACCUUGACGGUACCUGACGAGAAAGCCACGGCUAACUACGUGCCAGCAGCCGCGGUAAUACGUAGGUGGCAAGCGUUGUCCGGAUUUAUUGGGCGUAAAGCGCGCGCAGGCGGCUAUGUAAGUCUGGUGUUAAAGCCCGGGGCUCAACCCCGGUUCGCAUCGGAAACUGUGUAGCUUGAGUGCAGAAGAGGAAAGCGGUAUUCCACGUGUAGCGGUGAAAUGCGUAGAGAUGUGGAGGAACACCAGUGGCGAAGGCGGCUUUCUGGUCUGUAACUGACGCUGAGGCGCGAAAGCGUGGGGAGCAAA